UUAAACCGAGGAAUAAUGAGGACUCUAAUAGGCCUUCUUGUAUCACUAACCUGGCUGUCAGGUGUCCUGUCUAACCAACUUGCCCAGUCUAAUCCAGCGGUGAUAAAGCCGGGGAACUCCCAUACACUGACCUGUCAGGGUUCAGGAGGAUUCACCUUUGGUAGCAACUGGAUGCACUGGAUCAGACAGUUCUCUGAUGGAAAGUUACAAUGGUUGUGUAAUAUUGGUAGCAGUGGGAGUACAAACUAUAAUAAUGAUGUUAAAGGAAGAUUCACAACCACUAGGGAUGACAACAACAACAAGCUGACCCUGAAAAUGGACAACAUGAAAACUGAAGAUACUGCCGUGUAUUACUGUGCAAGAGACACACUGAUGGAAAAUCUAUCUUUCCUUCAACAAUAA